AACCUCUUUUCUCAAGGAGGAAGAUCUGACGUUACUUGAGGAAUAAGCAUCGGCUAACCCUGUGCCAGCAGCCGCGGUAAUACAGGGGAUGCAAGUGUUAUCCGGAAUUAUUGGGCGUAAAGCGUCUGCAGGUUGAUAUUUAAGUCUUUUGUUAAAUUUCUAGGCUUAACCUGGAAGUCGCAAAAGAAACUAUUUAUCUUGAGUAUGGUAGAGGUAAAGGGAAUUUCAAGUGGAGCGGUGAAAUGCGUAGAUAUUUGAAAGAACACCAACAGCGAAGGCACUUUACUGGGCCAUUACUGACACUCAGAGACGAAAGCUAGGGGAGCAAACAGGAUUAGAUACCCUGGUAGUCCUAGCUGUAAACGAUGGAUACUAGAUGUUGCGUAUUCUAAAUACGCAGUGUCGUAGCUAACGCGUUAAGUAUCCCGCCUGGGAAGUAUGCUCGCAAGAGUGAAACUCAAAUGAAUUGACGGAAUAAAU
rnacentral:rRNA from 1 species